CCUGAAAACAGAUGUCGAGAAGCAAAAUCAGUCAUUGCAAAAUGCUUUUUCCAGUUAACCUGCCAGGACAGGACCACCGAUAUCAUUGCAAAAAUACUGGCCAAAUACAACGUGGACCUGAUAGAAGUUGAAAACUUUGAACUCGUGCAGGUCAUCUCUGAGCACAAAGAGCUAGUCUUCCCGCAGGGAGCGAACGUGUUUUACGGGAUGAACAGCCAGUGCAGUACAGACCUCAUCCUGCGAAGAAAGCCAUGCUUAAUUUUCGGCCCGUGGCCCGAUGAGCACAAGAAGAGGAGGAGGCGCCUACCCAGGCUCUUUCGAGUUAACCUGCCCCGACAGGACCCCCGGUGUCACAGAGAAAAUAAUGACCAAGUACAACAGGGACCUGAGAG